rnacentral:misc_RNA from 1 species
UUUCCGUAGGUGAACCUGCGGAAGGAUCAUUAACGAGUUAGGGUCUUCUAGGCCCGACCUCCCAACCCUUUGUUUACUGAACCAUUGUUGCCUCGGUGGGUCCGUCUUACGACCGCCGGGGGAUCGCCGCGAGGCGCCCACUGGCCAGCGCCCACCGAUAGCCCAACCUUUAAGGCCCUUUGUGAAUCGUGUCUUAUGUCUAAAUUUAUGAUUAAACAAUCAAAACAAAACUUUCAACAACGGAUCUCUUGGUUCUG